CUGAGUACGGCGGAACACGUGAAAUUCCGUCGGAAUCCGGGAGGACCAUCUCCCAAGGCUAAAUACUCCCUAGUGACCGAUAGUGAACCAGUACCGUGAGGGAAAGGUGAAAAGCACCCCGGAAGGGGAGUGAAACAGUUCCUGAAACCGUGUGCCUACAAGUAGUUAGAGCCCGUUAAUGGGUGAUAGCGUGCCUUUUGUAGAAUGAACCGGCGAGUUACGAUUUGUUGCAAGGUUAAGCGGAAAAAGCGGAGCCGUAGCGAAAGCGAGUCUGAAUAGGGCGCAUAAGUAACAGGUCGUAGACCCGAAACCAGGUGAUCUACCCAUGUCCAGGAUGAAGGUAAGGUAAUACUUACUGGAGGUCCGAACCCACGCACGUUGAAAAGUGCGGGGAUGAGGUGUGGGUAGCGGAGAAAUUCCAAUCGAACUUGGAGAUAGCUGGUUCUCUCCGAAAUAGCUUUAGGGCUAGCCUCGAGGUAAAGAGUCAUGGAGGUAGAGCACUGUUUGGACUAGGGGCCCUUCUCGGGUUACCGAAUUCAGAUAAACUCCGAAUGCCAUGUACUUAUACUCGGGAG
rnacentral:rRNA from 1 species